rnacentral:rRNA from 1 species
AACGAUGUGGGAAGGCCCAGACAGCCAGGAUGUUGGCUUAGAAGCAGCCAUCAUUUAAAGAAAGCGUAAUAGCUCACUGGUCGAGUCGGCCUGCGCGGAAGAUGUAACGGGGCUAAACCAUGCACCGAAGCUGCGGCAGCGACACUGUGUGUUGUUGGGUAGGGGAGCGUUCUGUAAGCCUGCGAAGGUGGCCUGUGAGGGUUGCUGGAGGUAUCAGAAGUGCGAAUGCUGACAUAAGUAACGAUAAAGCGGGUGAAAAGCCCGCUCGCCGGAAGACCAAGGGUUCCUGUCCAACGUUAAUCGGGGCAGGGUGAGUCGACCCCUAAGGCGAGGCCGAAAGGCGUAGUCGAUGGGAAACGGGUUAAUAUUCCCGUACUUGGUGUUACUGCGAAGGGGGGACGGAGAAGGCUAUGUUGGCCGGGCGACGGUUGUCCCGGUUUAAGCGUGUAGGCUGGUUUUCCAGGCAAAUCCGGAAAAUCAAGGCUGAGGCGUGACGACGAGGCACUACGGUGCUGAAGCAACAAAUGCCCUGCUUCCAGGAAAAGCCUCUAAGCAUCAGGUAACAUCAAAUCGUACCCCAAACCGACACAGGUGGUCAGGUAGAGAAUACCAAGGCGCUUGAGAGAACUCGGGUGAAGGAACUAGGCAAAAUGGUGCCGUAACUUCGGGAGAAGGCACGCUGACAUGUAGGUGAAGUGAUUUACUCAUGGAGCUGAAGUCAGUCGAAGAUACCAGCUGGCUGCAACUGUUUAUUAAAAACACAGCACUGUGCAAACACGAAAGUGGACGUAUACGGUGUGACGCCUGCCCGGUGCCGGAAGGUUAAUUGAUGGGGUCAGCGCAAGCGAAGCUCCUGAUCGAAGCCCCGGUAAACGGCGGCCGUAACUAUAACGGUCCUAAGGUAGCGAAAUUCCUUGUCGGGUAAGUUCCGACCUGCACGAAUGGCGUAAUGAUGGCCAGGCUGUCUCCACCCGAGACUCAGUGAAAUUGAACUCGCUGUGAAGAUGCAGUGUACCCGCGGCAAGACGGAAAGACCCCGUGAACCUUUACUAUAGCUUGACACUGAACAUUGAGCCUUGAUGUGUAGGAUAGGUGGGAGGCUUUGAAGUGUGGACGCCAGUCUGCAUGGAGCCGGCCUUGAAAUACCACCCUUUAAUGUUUGAUGUUCUAACGUGGACCCGUAAUCCGGGUUGCGGACAGUGUCUGGUGGGUAGUUUGACUGGGGCGGUCUCCUCCUAAAGAGUAACGGAGGAGCACGAAGGUUGGCUAAUCCUGGUCGGACAUCAGGAGGUUAGUGCAAUGGCAUAAGCCAGCUUGACUGCGAGCGUGACGGCGCGAGCAGGUGCGAAAGCAGGUCAUAGUGAUCCGGUGGUUCUGAAUGGAAGGGCCAUCGCUCAACGGAUAAAAGGUACUCCGGGGAUAACAGGCUGAUACCGCCCAAGAGUUCAUAUCGACGGCGGUGUUUGGCACCUCGAUGUCGGCUCAUCACAUCCUGGGGCUGAAGUAGGUCCCAAGGGUAUGGCUGUUCGCCAUUUAAAGUGGUACGCGAGCUGGGUUUAGAACGUCGUGAGACAGUUCGGUCCCUAUCUGCCGUGGGCGCUGGAGAACUGAGGGGGGCUGCUCCUAGUACGAGAGGACCGGAGUGGACGCAUCACUGGUGUUCGGGUUGUCAUGCCAAUGGCACUGCCCGGUAGCUAAAUGCGGAAGAGAUAAGUGCUGAAAGCAUCUAAGCACGAAACUUGCCCCGAGAUGAGUUCUCCCUGAGACUUUAGGUCUCCUGAAGGAACGUUGAAGACGACGACGUUGAUAGGCCGGGUGUGUAAGCGCAGCGAUGCGUUGAGCUAACCGGUACUAAUGAACCGUGAGGCUUAACCUUACAACGCCGAAG